CACAGUGUAGCAAUACAUGGGUGGCGACCGGCAAACGGGUGCGGAACACGUACGCAACCUUCCUUCAGGCGGGGAAUAGCCCAGAGAAAUUUGGAUUAAUGCCCCAUAAUAUUUUGAGAUGGCAUCAUCUUAUUAUUAAAGCUACGGCACCUGGAGAUGGGCGUGCGGCUGAUUAGGUAGUUGGCGGGGUAAUGGCCCACCAAGCCUACGAUCAGUAGCUGAUGUGAGAGCAUGAUCAGCCACACGGGCACUGAGACACGGGCCCGACUCCUACGGGAGGCAGCAGUAAGGAAUAUUGGUCAAUGGACGCAAGUCUGAACCAGCCAUGCCGCGUGGAGGAUGAAGGUCCUCUGGAUUGUAAACUUCUUUUAUCUGGGACGAAAAAAGGGUUUUCUAACUCGUCUGACGGUACCAGAUGAAUAAGCACCGGCUAACUCCGUGCCAGCAGCCGCGGUAAUACGGAGGGUGCAAGCGUUAUCCGGAUUCACUGGGUUUAAAGGGUGCGUAGGCGGGCAUUUAAGUCAGUGGUGAAAUACCUGAGCUUAACUUGGGAACUGCCAUUGAUACUAUUUGUCUUGAAUGUCGUGGAGGUUAGCGGAAUAUGUCAUGUAGCGGUGAAAUGCUUAGAUAUGACAUAGAACACCUAUUGCGAAAGGCAGCUAACUACGCGAGUAUUGACGCUGAGGCACGAAAGCGUGGGGAUCAAACAGGAUUAGAUACCCUGGUAGUCCACGCCCUAAACGAUGAUUACUCGACAUUAGCGAUACACUGUUAGUGUCUGAGCG
rnacentral:rRNA from 1 species